rnacentral:rRNA from 1 species
GACGAACGCUGGCGGCGUGCUUAACACAUGCAAGUCGAACGGAGUGCUCCGGAAAGAGAUUUCGGUCAAUGGAUGGAGUUACUUAGUGGCGGACGGGUGAGUAACGCGUGAGGAACCUGCCUUUCAGAGGGGGACAACAGCUGGAAACGGCUGCUAAUACCGCAUAAUACGCGGGUGUCGCAUGGCAUCUGCGUCAAAGAUUUAUCGCUGAGAGAUGGCCUCGCGUCUGAUUAGCUAGUUGGUGAGGUAACGGCCCACCAAGGCGACGAUCAGUAGCCGGACUGAGAGGUUGGCCGGCCACAUUGGGACUGAGAUACGGCCCAG